CUCCCCCUGGCGCCACAAGGGGAAAGCUGGCACAGAAGGUCACGUGGUGCGGUGCCGCCUUGCCUGUGUCUUCUCCGCGCCAGCUCGGGCGGGUCCCAGGCGGUGCCCCGGCGCCAGCCCUGGAUGUGUAAAAGUCCUCUUGAUGCCAGAUGGAGAUCUGCACCAGGAUGAAAGAUAGCUGGCAAAUGAGGGAACCCAAGCAAGACUGAGGCUGUGCAGAGAAAAAAUGCCAGAAGCAGGAGGUUAUGAGUGCAAACCUCAGCCCUUCAACUUCCCAGCGUUGCCAGGCCAGAUCCUGAGAUGCUGAGCACCCAGAUCUCCUGUUGAAGUCUACAGGAAUUGCAGAUCCUCAGUACUACUCCACAAACCGGAUUGCCCUGACUGGGCUAGAACACACAGGACGGCUAUGAGGAAGGAAGAUCCCCAUGCAGAAUUUCUCCCCCCAGUGUUCAGUGGGUGGUUUAUCUCUUUCUGGAGAAGGGCACAAGGCUAGUCCCCAAACCUCACAGCUCUAGUAGGAUUCAAAAGAGAGCAUGUACAAACUCUUGCUGGCUCAGUGCCUCUGUGUCCCCUUUCCCCCACUCUCUGGCUCAAACAGAGCUGUGCACCAGGGAUCCCCACCCCCACUCACAGCUGCCCCCCUGCUUUCACUGGCAGAUGUAGUUUAAACAUUUUUUGGCACAAUUUGGCCAUUUGUACUUCUAUACCUGCUUUCAUCUCAAACAACUUUACAGACAAUUAAUGUAUCAUCUUGUGAGGUAGGUAGGGAUAAUUGUAAUGCAACCCAUUUUGCAGUUGGGGAAACCAAGGCAUAGAGACAUUAAAGACAUGAGGAUUUGAUGGUGGGACAGAAACCUUCCCCAGAGGCCAAUCAUAACAGUGACCACCAUUGACUCACUUUACAGGCAACCCCACACAGCUGCUGUGACUUCCCCAUAUGAGGCGUAUUUGACCACCUUUGAUCCCCAUAGUUAAGAGAUCCACGGACCUCAUCUCUACAGCAUCUCUGAAAUCCCAUUUGUGCUAGGGUGCAUGACUCUCUAGCAUGGCUAUGAUGCCUGGGAGGCAGGGGUUUCAGAAUCCUUGCACAUGAUUCUCACCGUUUCCUCCUGACAUACAGCAGAACUCACUAAUGCCAUUGCAUCCAAGGCCUUCUGAACCAAGAGGGUAGGACUGGGGAUGGAUUUGCCUCUAAGUGAUUUGCCCAAGGAUAUACAGGGAGACAGUGGCAGAGCUGAGAACACAUUCCUAACUCCCAGUCCUCUGCAAUAAGCCCUGAACAAUACUGCCUCCUUUCUUUAAAAAAGCAGAGGAACAUAAACACAUUAGCAAACCAAACUGCAGCUACAGCCAUAUAUGGCCAAAAAAGGAGCAACUAUGGGAUUAUUAUUUAUUGAAGGCGUUUUCCUGUGAGUAUGGACCAUUUAGAUCUAGCCAGUCCAGGAGCCUCAGGAGUCACAUCUUCUGCUUUAGAGCUGUGCCGAUACUUCACUGAGGCUAAAAAAGCUGCAUGGGGUUUUGACGCAGCACUGGGAGAGGCGGAGCUUUGAAGCUUGAGACUGGAGCUUGUGCAGCAUAGGGCUGAAACAAUUUGUUUAAUUAAAACAUUCUGCCAGUCAGAACAUCUGAGUCGCUUGCUUCAGACCCUGGGUGGCCGACCACCAGAAAAUGUGGAGAAAGACACAGCCUCCCAGACUCUCCUCUGGCCCUCUUUUAUCUAUCUCAAACACUGCCGUAAAAAUCCAUCAGUGUCUACAACUGCUCCAGUCAU